UACGGGGGGGGCAAGCGUUGUUCGGAAUUACUGGGCGUAAAGGGCUCGUAGGUGGCCAACUAAGUCAGACGUGAAAUCCCUCGGCUUAACCGGGGAACUGCGUCUGAUACUGGAUGGCUAGAGAUUGGGAGAGGGAUGCGGAAUUCCCAGUGUAGAGGUGAAAUUCGUAGAUAUUGGGAAGAACACCGGUGGCGAAGGCGGCCAACUGGACCAUUUCUGACGCUGAGGCGCGAAAGCGUGGGGAGCAAACAGG
rnacentral:rRNA from 1 species